rnacentral:rRNA from 1 species
UGGGGAAUUUUGGACAAUGGGCGAAAGCCUGAUCCAGCAAUGCCGCGUGUGUGAAGAAGGCCUUCGGGUUGUAAAGCACUUUUGUCCGGAAAGAAAUCCUUGGCUCUAAUACAGUCGGGGGAUGACGGUACCGGAAGAAUAAGCACCGGCUAACUACGUGCCAGCAGCCGCGGUAAUACGUAGGGUGCAAGCGUUAAUCGGAAUUACUGGGCGUAAAGCGUGCGCAGGCGGUUUGCUAAGACCGAUGUGAAAUCCCCGGGCUCAACCUGGGAACUGCAUUGGUGACUGGCAGGCUAGAGUAUGGCAGAGGGGGGUUAGAAUUCCACGUGUAGCAGUGAAAUGCGUAGAGAUGUGGAGGAAUACCGAUGGCGAAGGCAGCCCCCUGGGCCAAUACUGACGCUCAUGCACGAAAGCGUGGGGAGCAAACAGGAUUAGAUACCCCUGGUAGUCCACGCCCCUAAACGAUGUCAACUAGUUGUGGGGAUUCAUUUCCUUAGUAACGUAGCUAACGCGUGAAGUUGACCGCCUGGGGAGUACGGUCGCAAGAUUAAAACUCAAAGGAAUUGACGGGGUCAUAGCUGUUUCCU